UAUAUGAGAUUAGAAAUGAUAAUAUUUAACGGCAUUAAAAAUAAAAACAUUUGCCUUUUCUAAUAUAGCGCUAUGACCUUUUAACUUGUGGAUAAUGUCAAGUCUUAAUGUCCUAUGGCCAUUCCACUCGAGUCCACUCGAAGGCAUUUUCACUUUUUUUUUAUGCAAUAUCAGUUGUCAUCACUUUGUCCUUAUCGUUUUUCUUCCACCUCUCUCUCUCUCUCUUUCUCUAUAUACACACACACACACACACACUAUUCUAUUUUUUUUUAUUACCAAGACCCUGAACUAUGUAUAUUUAUAUCUUGUUUUGAAAACCAAAGAUGUUUAAAGUUGCACACAGACUACUAACCGACUUCUUUCAGUAAUCACUGUGUAAAUGUUAUCCUCUAUCUCUUAGACUAGUAGAUUUGAUAACUUGUGUGUUUGUUGAUGUGUGAAGCUGUGUGUGUUUUUCAGAUAUAUUUUUUUUAAAAAGUGUUUGUGUGUUUGAAAACAUGGGGAAAUGACUCUGAAUGACUCGAGAUACAGUGUGUGUCCGAGAGAUUAGACAAGAUCUCUUUAGAUCGGUAAGAGAUAGGAGAGAGAGAGAGAGAGUCUAUCUGGAUGUUGAGUAGUUACCGAGUGUUAAAUCAGAUGAGUAAGUCACAGACUAGGUCAAAU